UGGGAGGUGUCACAGGUUCACAACAUGUCACUGAUGGUUCACUAGAGCAUAGGUCUAUUUCAGUGAACAUUCAGACUGUAAAUGUCAUGUUAGCACUCAUUUAACAAUUAAAAAAAGAAAUAGCAAGUAAAGUUUGAUUGAUAUUUUAUCUGGCCCUUUUAUGCUAGUGAUGUUCUCCUUUCUCUAUUCAGAAUUCACCUUGAUUGAAAAAUAGAACUAAAACCUGUAGCCAUUUAAAAAGCUGACAAGUCAAACAGAUGGGGCUGUUUCAAUUGGUCCAGCAUGUAAUGGACUUUGAUACCACCGUGUUCUUGACAAGCAGCGAAAGCAAGUAUGCGAUGCGUAUGGCACUAGCAGAGUUCAUCAUACAACCAGAAAUCUUCAUUCUACAAAGAUGUCACCGCGUGGAAUUUAUUGUCAUGGUCAACACACAGCUGAAGUGAUAGAUCUGGAUUUGGAAUGAUCUAGGUAUGAGUCCCCACCAAGCAACCUUGGGUCAGUCUCUCUAUCCUUCUGUUCUUGGGCUGCCCUACCUCGCAGAGCUGUUGUGAGGAGAAAGUGAGAAGCAGAAACAUCAUGGCCUUUACCUGGAGCUCCUUGGAGAGAAGCUGACACAACUGUGACUAACAUAAAUAAAAACAUGAUUGAAUCUUA